rnacentral:rRNA from 1 species
UACGUAGGGGGCUAGCGUUGUCCGGAAUCAUUGGGCGUAAAGCGCGUGUAGGCGGUCCGGUAAGUCCGCUGUGAAAGUCAGGGGCUCAACCCCUGGAUGCGGGUGGAUACUGCUGGGCUAGAGUCCGGAAGAGGCGAGUGGAAUUCCUGGUGUAGCGGUGAAAUGCGCAGAUAUCAGGAGGAACACCGAUGGCGAAGGCGGGUCUCUGGGCCUUACCUGACGCUGAGGCGCGAAAGCUAGGGGAGCGAACAGG